rnacentral:lncRNA from 1 species
ACAAAAACAAAAACGAAUGUGCAGAAAGUAACCAAAGAGGGAACUGCAGUUUCACUGUAGCAUGGGUGAGGCCGGCGACCUGCCAUCUGUGCUCCUCAGGCUUCCUUCCUGUUGGCGCCUGUGCCGUGCAUCUGGGAGGACAGACUCAGAGGCAGAAGACAAGGAUGAAGCUUGUUCCGUCCAAAGGAAAGAGCACUUCAGUGAUGUCCAAACUGAGCUCUCUAAAACUUUCAUCUCUAAGAACACAUUGUCCGAGGGGAGUAGUGGACUGGCCGGGUGUUCUUCUCACCUCGUCUGUCCAUCUUGCUGCAUGGGACUCUUCAUGAGUGAGACAAACACUGGAGGCAGUUUCAUACCAGAACAUUCCUGCCUGAGGCGGCUGCCCAAGGGACACUUCUCCCCUCGCCUGCCGCCCACUCCCCGCCUGCUCCCCAAAUUCUGCAGAGAGGAAGUCGAAUCUAAAUAACACCACUGCGAUUAUUGCAAAUUUUGUAACAGGCACCAGUCUUUAUUUUGUGGGAAUCAAGAAGGAAUAGAAAAGCAAGGCGUUGGAUGAAUCAAGGCCUACUCGGCCUUCUGAAUCUUGAAACGUAAUGCCCACUCCGCUGUUUGAUUAGUGACAGCUUCCUGCUGCUGGCCAGGAAGCCCCUUUCCUAACGGGGCCAUCCAGACAGUUCCGAGUCCCGCGUCAGCAGCAGCCACAGCACGUCCUCCCCCUGGGCUGCGUGGCCCAGGAGGAAGGGCACACCUUGUCUGUCCCAUCUGAAUGAUGGUUUAGUUCUCUUUAACCCUUCACGGACUCAGCACCCAAGACUCCCUGGCUUGGUGCCGCCCCUGUGAAUGAGCCCCCCGCUCAGUCUAUUCUGUUUGUGAGAGAAGCAGGAAUAUUACUCAUAUUGACUGGGUCCUUUCUGUUGGAUCAUGCCUGACAUUCAACCAGAUCCGCCUUUUAGUGCUUUGGUAACAUGAGUUGCAAAUAGAUAGGGCCAUUACUUCCUCAUGUAAAGCGAGGCCAGGCUGGUAUACAAGAUUCCUGCAGGAGUGCUCUUAUGGCAGUUUCCUCCGUAAUUUUAUCAUCUACUUGAUGCUACUGUGCAAAUUCUGG